rnacentral:rRNA from 1 species
UACGAACGGUCCAAACGUUAUUCGGAAUCACUGGGCUUAAAGAGUCCGUAGGCGGUAUGGAAAGUGGGGUGUGAAAUCCCUCGGCUUAACCGAGGAACUGCGCUCCAAACUACCAUUCUUGAGGAACCUAGAGGUGCGCGGAACUGAUGGUGGAGCGGUGAAAUGCGUUGAUAUCAUCAGGAACACCGGAGGCGAAGGCGGCGCACUGGGGGUUUUCUGACGCUGAGGGACGAAAGCUAGGGGAGCGAACGGG